rnacentral:tRNA from 1 species
UGGUGCCAUAGCUCAGUUGGUAGAGCAAAGGACUGAAAAUCCUUGUGUCCCCGGUUCGAUUCCUGGUGGCACCACUUU